rnacentral:sRNA from 2 species
CCCAGCUAGUAGAAAAGCAUAAGCUCCAGCGUAUCCCUUUCCCUGAACCGCGUAAGCUCAGUGGAUUCGACGGCCCCAGAGGAUCCGCCUCCUACAACAUGGUAAGAUUUAAUGUCGAUGUAGGAGGGCACGAGAAAAAGAACGUUUACGCAUACGAAGUGCAGGACCUUGAGUACGACUUAAUGCUCGGCCUGUCAUGGCUUACGGAAUUUGGAACCUUGUUAGACGCACGCAACCGUUGUCUUAUUUUCCCAGGAAGCGACCGCGUCUAUGAGAAGGAUGUCGAUAGGACUGCUGAUCUCACUCAGAUAUCGGCAGAAGCGUUCAAGCUAUUAACCCGCCAAGCGCGCGAGAAGAAGAACGUCCAAGUGUUCGCUGCUAGUAUGGCGGAUAUCAAGAAAGCGUUAGAAAAGCUAGAACCUAAGGACCCCAAGAAGCCCCGCAAGGAACUCCCCGAAUCGUAUAAGGACUUCGCAGACGUGUUCGAUGAAAAGGCGGCCGAAGAGCUCCCCCCCCACCGAGGACGCGGCAU